rnacentral:rRNA from 1 species
UUUGACCUCAAAUCAGGUAGGACUACCCGCUGAACUUAAGCAUAUCAAUAAGCGGAGGAAAAGAAACUAACAAGGAUUCCCUUAGUAACGGCGAGUGAAGAGGGAAGAGCUCAAAUUUGAAAUCUGGCAGUCUACGGCUGUCCGAGUUGUAAUCUAGAGAAGUGUUUUCCGUGCUGGACCGUGUACAAGUCCUUUGGAACAAGGCGUCAUAGAGGGUGAGAAUCCCGUCUACGACACGGACUACCAGUGCUCUGUGAUACACUCUCAACGAGUCGAGUUGUUUGGGAAUGCAGCUCAAAAUGGGUGGUAAAUUCCAUCUAAAGCUAAAUAUAGGCGAAAGACCGAUAGCGAACAAGUACCGUGAGGGAAAGAUGAAAAGCACUUUGGAAAGAGAGUUAAACAGUACGUGAAAUUGUUGAAAGGGAAACGCUUGAAGUCAGUCGCGUCUUCAGAAACUCAGCCUGGCUUCUGCCUGGUGUACUUUUCUGUUGGACGGGCCAGCAUCAGUUUUGGCCGCCAGAAAAAGGUGAGAGGAAGGUGGCACCCUCCGGGGUGUGUUAUAGCCUCUCAUCGUAUGUGGCGGCUGGGACUGAGGACCGCAGCACGCCUUCAAUGGCCGGGGUUCGCCCACGUUACGUGCUUAGGAUGCUGGCGUAAUGGCUUUAAACGACCCGUCUUGAAACACGGACCAAGGAGUCUAACAUGCCUGCGAGUAUUUGGGUGGCAAACCCAUAUGCGAAAUGAAAGUGAACGGUUGGGACUUCUGUCAUGGAAGGCACCGACGCCCGGACCAGACCUACUGUGACGGAUCCGAGGUAGAGCAUGUAUGUUGGGACCCGAAAGAUGGUGAACUAUGCCUGAGUAGGGUGAAGCCAGAGGAAACUCUGGUGGAGGCUCGUAGCGAUUCUGACGUGCAAAUCGAUCGUCGAACUUGGGUAUAGGGGCGAAAGACUAAUCGAAC